rnacentral:rRNA from 1 species
GAUGAACGCUGGCGGCGUGCCUAAUACAUGCAAGUCGAGCGAACAGACGAGGAGCUUGCUCCUCUGACGUUAGCGGCGGACGGGUGAGUAACACGUGGAUAACCUACCUAUAAGACUGGGAUAACUUCGGGAAACCGGAGCUAAUACCGGAUAACAUGUUGAACCGCAUGGUUCAACAGUGAAAGACGGUCUUGCUGUCACUUAUAGAUGGAUCCGCGCCGCAUUAGCUAGUUGGUAAGGUAACGGCUUACCAAGGCAACGAUGCGUAGCCGACCUGAGAGGGUGAUCGGACACACUGGAACUGAGACACGGUCCAGACUCCUACGGGAGGCAGCAGUAGGGAAUCUUCCGCAAUGGGCGAAAGCCUGACGGAGCAACGCCGCGUGAGUGAAGAAGGUCUUCGGAUCGUAAAACUCUGUUAUUAGGGAAGAACAAAUGUGUAAGUAACUAUGCACGUCUUGACGGUACCUAAUCAGAAAGCCACGGCUAACUACGU